UGUAGACACUGCCCCUGACCAUCCAGUCCUCCCCGUGCUGUGUAGACACUGCCAUCCUGACCAUCCAGCCCUCCCCGUGCUGUGUAGACACUGCCCCUGACCAUCCAGUCUUCACCGUGCUGUGUACACACUGCCCCUGACCAUACAGUCCUCCGCAUGCUGUGUAGAUACUGCCCCUGACCAUCCAGUCCUCCCCAUACUGUGUAGACACUGCCAUUGACCAUCCAGUCCUCCGCAUGUUGUGUAGACACUGCCCCUGACCAUCCAGUCCUCCCCGUGCUGUGUAGAUACUGCUGUCCUGACCAUCCAGUCCUCCCCAUACUGUGUAGACACUAACCCUGACCAUCCAGUCCUCCCCAUACUGUGUAGACACUGCCAUUGACCAUCCAGUCCUCCGCAUGUUGUGUAGACACUGCCCCUGACCAUCCAGUCCUCCCCGUGCUGUGUAGAUACUGCUGUCCUGACCAUCCAGUCCUCCCCAUACUGUGUAGACACUAACCCUGACCAUCCAGUCCUCCCCAUACUGUGUAGACACUGCCCCUGACCAUCCAGUCCUCCCCGUGCUGUGUAGACACUGCCAUCCUGACCAUCCAGCCCUCCCCGUGCUGUGUAGACACUGCCAUCCUGACCAUCCAGUCCUCCGCACACAGUGUCCUCCAGCUCACAUCCCCUCCUCAUCGCGGCCUCCCCACCCCACGUCACCGGCUGACCUGCUCUGGUCAGCAGGCUCCCUGCUUCAUUACUGUACCCAGAUCGGGUUCCCUGUAAAUCCCAGGACACGGCGAUACUCCUGGCCAGGGCCUUCUGGCUGCACGGUGACAUCUGGAAGGCCUCCCACAGCUCACCAGCCUGACCUUCCACUCAGCCAGUGCCACCAGCAUCCACUCACCCACGGACCUGAGAGCGCUAGGACACUGUGAAUAACUGUUGGCACACUGCACACUGUUGGCAUGCUGCACGGACGGGGUGGCGGUGUCCAUACCCAAUUCCAAAGAAUUGCCAAGAGGGCUUGCAGGCCUAGGAUUAUCAGAUCUUCCCAUCAAAAAUAAUUAUUGGACUACAGGUUAAAAAGCAAAUCUCGGCCGGCGCCGUGGCUCACUAGGGUAAUCCUCCACCUUGCGGUGCCAGCACACCGGGUUCUAGUCCCGGUCGGGGCACCGGAUUCUUUCCCUGUUGCCCCUCUUCCAGGCCAGCUCUCUGCUGUG
rnacentral:lncRNA from 1 species